UCUGCCAUUUUAUUUCAUUUGGCCAACGCUUUUACUGACCAGUUUCUAGUCAUUUACAUUCCAUCUUGUCUUUUUCUUACUCUUAAAGAAAAAACGGUAACCCUUACUCCUUCCACUUGGAUGACCGGACGUUUUGAUCAGAACAUCAAUGCUUGUGAACUUUUAACUUUUAUUCACGCUAUGAAUUACGAAAAGAUAAAGGA